rnacentral:rRNA from 1 species
CCUACGGGAGGCAGCAGUCGAGAAUCUUCCGCAAUGGGCGCAAGCCUGACGACGCAACGCCGCGUGGAGGACGAAGAUCUUCGGGUCGUAAACUCCUGUCGAGCGGGAAGAACGGCGCACGGAUCAAUACCCCGUGCGCGUGACGGUACCGCGAGAGGAAGCCCCGGCUAACUCCGUGCCAGCAGCCGCGGU